UCUGAUUAUAACAUGGCAGAUGCUCGAGCCUACGCAACGAGACACACUGCGCUCAUAUUUCCUCCAUCCAUGCUCGAAAAGUAGCACAGAGUAUCAUUUACUUCUCUGACGAGCAAGUAUGGAAUAUUUACGAGAACGAAGCCUUCAGCUCCGUGUGUUGUCACUGUUUUUUCACAGCGAAACUGACUCGGUCAUAGAUGCGUCUCGAGUAAACCAGGCCGCUACUAUUGAUUCUGAGAAUUCCAGAGCAGCACAGUUGCCCUGCUGAAUUUAACAUUCAUUCUGAAGCCAUUACCUCCUGACUGCGUUCCCUUUCAGCCACUGUGUUCGACGCCCAAUCACAAAAGGCCAGAGCCUUCAGUGCGUGUGACCUUUUGCGUAUCCACUGUCGCGCAAGAUCGUCUCGUGCGAGUGAAACCGCCACGUCCAUGCACCGGCGCCUUACUACUGUAAGCCUACAAACAGAGGAGGCUCAGAGCCAAAGACUUUUUCGAACAUGUGAAGAAUCAUGUUUCAGACUAAAUUAGCGAUAGCCGGCUUGGUAAGGGACGAUGAGGGCAACUUUAUUCCAUUUCAGAGAUGGGUAUUUCGGGGCGCAAUCCAGUUGGUUCUUAACAUUACGCAGUCUGUCAAGCGCUAAUACAGGGAAGUGCGAAGAUCUACGCGCCGUACGGCUGCUGGCACAGGCCACUUUUAUAGCGUUUGCAACGCUUUUCUUACCUCCAGCACUUGAUUGUGCGACGGGCCAGGAACCCCGAAAGGAUACUUUUUGCUUCGUUCACUGUCACACGUGUUGCCUCUUUUGCAAUGCAGAGAGCCUCUAAUGCAGCACCUGUCAAACGUCUUUUUCUGUAGGUGAGUGCCCGGGUACGCAGUUGCUGCUGCUGUCUGCGCGCCUCCGCACUAGCAGCCGCGUCUUCUUGCUGUCGUUGCUUUUCACGUUCCUGUUGCUCUUGAAGGAGGACUCUCUUCGCUUUCCUAAGCAAACAUACUCGAUCGAAUUUGCACUGAAUCUGGACUUAGCUUCGAAAGAAAUUUAUAUUCGACGUGGUCCAGCUUUCUUGCACAUCAUGACAAGCGGAAGUUAAGUGGUAGUGCCUCGUCUGCUGGGCUGACCAACGCGAACCUUCCCUUCAUCAAAAUGGUGCGGCUAUAGAAGUAGAGAACAGAGCACCGCACUGGAGUCAAAGCGGCUCCAAAUCUGUCGUACGUCUGCAUAGUCACCAUCGUCAUGACGCAACCAGUGGACGCAUCUGCUGCAUCACAACGAAUUUUGAGGGUAGGCUCAUUUCACUGGCGGUGGUCCCCUAUACCGUAAAUAAGAUGUUCUGAACCGACAUACAAUCACCUGAAAUCCGUCUCGACGGCGAUGGAUCAAUUUCUCUCCGCUCAGCCGAGAUGCACUCAUAAAACGUAUGUGCGUACUAACUUUUCCAGCUCUUUGUGCCGAGCGAGCGCCUCCGCCUUCCUACAGAGAAUGGUCACACUCAAGCCUAGUUCAGCAGCAGAGCUAGUAUUGCGGGAACUCGGGCAGCAGCACCUGGAGCGGUCGUGUCUCUUUCGCGCAACGUGCAAUGGAGGCAAAAUGUAGUCUGCGUUAGGUUGCGGGUGCAAUCCUGUCUUUCCUGUUGCUGCGGAGCCACGCGGUAAUAUUCGCAGCCUCGCAUAAACUGCAGAGUCCCCCGUAAGACCGAUUUAGUGGAUACGGAUUUCAAGCCAUACGCGAACUUUGUUUAGUUCACCCCAUCUUCCCCUCCCCUUAAUCUACGUCGUUGUACAACCCCUUCUCUAGAGUCUUCGUCCUACCUGAGCUUUAGCUGUGCCAGUCGCUGCCUCCUUUCUUCUGCCCUUGCUUGCAUUCGAACUACAAACAUAUAAGAGUGCGUAGGUUUUCUUGUCGAUUCCCUGAGCUCUGGCAGCUGUGAUCUUUUGGGGCUGCCGGACACCAAACCUGUGGCAGGGUUCCGCGACACUAUACGGUCCAGAAAACGCGGACUGUAGAAAUUGAUCAUCGCUUGUUUGCUACUCAGGCUGGUUUCGGGCUUUCGCUGGCCAGAACGGCGUCCUGCGACCGGAUAGACGAGGUGCUUUUCCCCGGCGUUUGAUCGAGCGGAAAGUGCGUCCGCGGAUGCAGCUGAGCAGGUACUCGCGUCGAACGACCCAGGCUUGAGCCUUAGCAUGAGGUGCCCGGAUGACAUUUUGGGACGGUACACGCUCCGUCGGGCCCCCUCACUACACAACAUUGCAUGGAUAUUUUGACCUCUGGACCGCGGCGGGAUGUCUUCCAAACGCUCCCCAAGGUGAGGCUCUCCAAAGGUCUCUGAUGAGUGGUUUCGCGAGCCUGUUUCACAGCCGAAGACUUUAAGAGAGCACAACAAGGCAGUGUUGUUCACCCACGGAUGGUACACCAUCGGCUGUGCUUGCGUCGCCGACGUCCGUCUCUCGGCUUCGCUUUCCGCUGUCCGGUUGUGUGUCGGAAGUGUGGCAAUCGUCGUGACACCUGUGGCGAGAUCCCGUUUUCCGGUUGUACAUUGCUCUUCAAACGCGCAAACGGUGACGGCAGGCACGGGAGGUCUGCUGGCUGGCCCGUUCGUGUCACGUUGCACUGGCCUGUCAUUAUAUUGACAGACCGCAGGCUGUGCGUUUGACAUGAUGUCUAGUACACACAGCUUCCUCGCAAUGGUAGUGUCCGUUAAUAUACUCUGUUCCAACAGGGAUGCUGAUUCUGCAUCCUCUCGAGAAGAUCCCUCUAUUGAAGGCGUUUCAGAGUCAUGCGAAACAGAUGAAGGAAUGCAACACAAGGCAGCGCUCUGUCGCGCAGCUGAGAGAAGAGCCUUCCUCGUUAUUUCUACCGUUGCCCUGAGUUCAGUUUUCUGCUGGUCAGGCACUGGCUGAUCAACCGAUGCUGUUUGAGGGGAAGGCUCCCUCGGCACUGUGAUCUGAAUGUGAGGUGCCACAGGAGCUCGCGGUGAGGUAUGCUUGCCUGUUGGAGAUAUCGGAAGUCUACCUGCAGCUGGUCUCAACUCUCGAUGGGUCUCAUGCGUUGGGGAUUUGCUGACACUAGCAGAGCAAUUCUUUGAGGCAUUCGGACAGCAUCUGUGGUCAGUGCAAGGCGCGCACAGUGUUGGGAGGGAGCUCAGUUUGUCACAAGGAGGGGAAAGCGAGAAAAGUGUUGCCGACUGCUGUAGGUGACUUGGUUUCGAUUCAGCGGCUACAUGUAUCUGGCAGGAGAUAGGGAGCUGAGACAAAGACUCAAGGGACUCCGAACGUCCUGCAAAUGAUUCUUGUUGUGUCUGAGCGGCGCAAGGAGGGCACAAAAUUGAAUCGAACGAAUUGGCGAAGUUGUGGGCUCGUCCACAUGGCUGAGAGAAAGGUGUGGUCAUGGAGGCAGACUGUGCCUUUUCUGGAGUUUCGCCAAUCUCAUGUCUUUGAAGCACUUUCCCCUCUCUUCCCGGCGUUGCCUUUUCUUCCGUCUUUGGCAUCUUGUGAACACAACUUUUUCCAGAAUGGACAGGUUUACGCGUUGCAUAGGCCGACGAACAAGGCGAAUUAUCGAAAGGCCUCUUUGGCGCAGAGAAGCCAGUUCUUAGUAACUCAAGUGCCACUGGUUGGGUACGUUCAUUCAUGAACUCGUGCGGCGACAGAGACGUGUUGUGACGGAGUUGCGCAAGAGCUCUGGCGCAGAAAAGCUCAUCUUCCAAAAUCGACAGGAAAGAUGCUGCUGAACUCCUCGAGUCUGAGCGAAGUCCACCGCCCUCAGUUUGAAACUGUCCUGAACUGGACAUCUUGCAUUCGGCAAUCUUCCCUGCUGCGGUGAUGGAGGCAUUUUCCCAGCUGGAGUCGAGGGUGCAAGAAUCAUCGGCAACUCCAGGUGUGGAGGAAUCCGGGAACGGAGUAGACGAGCUUCCCGGCGGCAGAUAACGGCGGAAGGGCUUGCCCUCCAUAGGGGAAGCCUCUGCAGGGGACUGUCCCGACGGCCCUAAAAGCUGACUGUCAGACUGAGGGAUACUGCGGGUUUCCGGAAGCGAAAAAGACGAAUUCUGUUUCUGGUAGUAAAGCGACGAAGAAGCCUUGGUCAGGGGCGGCUUCAUUACUACAGAGGAGACAGCGGCACAGCAACAUGCGACUGCUGUGUCGAGCUCAGGCUUCGACAGAGACCCCUGGGGGAUGCACGCACCAUCAUAAGAGGCUGCAUCAGCAGUUGUACGGGAGGGUUCCUUGGAGCAAGGCAGUGGCCGCCAAAGGGAAUCUUCCGCGUUGUGAAGCUGCAUCGCGUGAGGAGGUCGACAACGAAUGUUACUCUUCUUCGUACUGUCCGAUUUGGAGGCCGGCUUGUGGGAAUCUCCACAUCCGGUAAACGACAGAUGAAUAGAUUGCUUCUUUUUUGUAUCAUGUGAUGCACCGGACUCUUCAAGACGGUCGCAGGGAAUGCAUGCCGAACCGGCCGACGAGUCUUCAAGAAGAGAAUCGGCUGCGGCAUCGGCGUCUCGUACUGCGGCGUGUGCUUGUGCCAACACAGCGCCGACUUCCACCAGGACAGUUGUAGUUACGGCAGACGGAGCAGGUCGGUAUGGCGACUGCUCGCCGGAACGCUUGCCGUUUCCAUGCGCAGCACAUUCGCAGAUGCCCCGAGGUGACACUUGAAGUGAUCCUUCUUCCACUGUCCCUUCAUUCUUAUCCAGUGCCUUGUCCUUCUGCGGGCGCGAUGGUGUCGACGAAGAGCGUACAGCUAGUUGGUCAUACACCGGUGACCCUUCGUCCACCGUACAGUCAUGAGGAGAUUCGAAACCCGUCACUGUCACUUUACCAGUAUCUGUUGAUACGUUGAGAUAUGCCUGCUUGAAAGGGCCCUCAUAUCCAACACUUCUGAGCGAACGCGUACUCGAUGUGGCUUCAGUUUCACGUUCUAACGUGAGAGUACGAAUCACGGGGGCUGACAGUGACGUCUUCAUGCGCUUGUUCGCUGCUUGUUCAAGCGAUAACCAUUUGCAGACAGUACUCGAUGCGCAUGGAGACGCGCUGGUGAGUUGAUCUGGUCUGCCAUCAGAAGGCUCAUAAGGCGACGUGAACGCAUGUUGAAUGUUACGGAUAUCUGUACCGUUCAUACUGCCCAGAACGCCAGCCAAUGUAGGCUGACCGUCGCACCGGUAUGCCGCGUCGGACUCUUUAUGCAAAUGCUGUUGCUCGUUUUCCUCUAGAACCGGAUGCUGGGGUGAGAUUCUUACAGAACACUCUGACACGGAAGGUGCGGCAGAUACUUCAGGGGUGUUGUUCUUCGGUACACUGCAACUGCCCAAAAUUGCCCCAUCGCCUGCGUCCUUGGGAACAGCACUUGACUCGGACAUCUGUGGCGUGACUCCAUCCUCACAGAAGGCUAAUCGAAGUGGCAUUGACGCUUCGGCAGAGGCGAGAGUAGCAGCUGAAAGCUCGGAGGUGAUACAGUCAACCGCCCAAGAAGACACUAGCUCCAGAGAGGCAGGCACCAAAGGAUGGAGCAGUGGCGAGGGUGGAGAAGUUGGCGCAGAGGUCAGAGUGAUGGAUCGCCGCCCUUCAUUCGUUUCCUGGAGGACAGUUUCAGUAUUUCUUGCUGCAGGGCUCACGGCUACGCAGUUACUCUGAGAAACGGUUUCCAAGGAGUGAAAAGAAGCAGAGACGGCCGUGCUUUCUCCUGAGAAGUAACGAUUGGUAAAUUGAGCCGAAGAAGACGGUGGCAACGCAGACAAAUACAUUUCAGAUUCUGAAGAAUUUUCCGACAAGCGGUUACACGUUGCACCUGAUGGAGCAAAGUCAGGCUUUGGUUGUACCCGUGUCUGACGUGCAGGAUCUAUUCCAUCUCCAUCAGAGCCGGUGUUGCACGAGGCUCCUGGUUCGCGUGCUUCACCGUCUGCAGUAUCCAGAACCACCUGUGAAGACCGUAUCAUGCGGCAUGUUGCGUUGCCGUUUGAUUCUGCGUUACAACGCUUUGUGAAUAUGUGGUGGGGAGGACUCGUUGACAUGCAUGGAGAGACAGAAGACGGCCGUCCUAGACGAUGUGAGAAACAAACCAAAUCGCUCGAGUCAGGAAUCGCGGGUGGGGUCGCCGCCAGAUUUGGAGGAGACUCUACACUUGUGUCUUUCCCCUCCAUAGGAGCGGGAACUGGCAGAGAGGUAGGCGGAGCCUGUGCACUAUGUGGAUGACCAGGAGAAACACGAACCGGCGAAGACGGGGCGACGUUAUCACCGAGGAUCUGCCGAAGACGCUGCCGCGGAUCCUGAGUGGCCUGUUUGAUCAGCAUCUCUUGACGUUGAUGGCGAAGCUGGUACAGAGGAACAAGGAGACAUCUAGUUGGAUGACAUCUCAGGAAUCUUCCGUGUAAGGCAAAUAGCGGAUGCGUAACGCAAGGGAGAACCUUACGCUUAAUCUGAAACAGACGAGUUAGGAUUCUGAACUGGUGGAUUUUUAUUGGCUGUCGAUCCCUUACCAGUUCGAGCUUUUUCCUUUGACAAAACGAAAUGAACUCUCGUCCAAAUUCAAGCAGUUUGCGUCGCAGAAUCUGCAUGCCACAUACAUACCACGUAAUGCGUCCCACGUUGACAGUUGUAGGCUGGAGGUCUGCCACAAGCACGACCUUAGAGCCCAGAGAGUGAUCAGGUCCGAUGUUCAGACGGGCCAACAGAAGAAGGUAAAGGUGCAUGGCAAACUUGAAGGCUUGUGAGCAUGUUUUCGUAUUGCCCACAAUGGCCGACGUCACCGGGGUCUGGAUCUGACUUUUGGCAGACAUUAUUUGUGAAGCAGUGACCUCAUCGAAGAACAAUUAUGAACGUAGCUCACUCGUGCAAUCCAGCGGCCCAGUACGCGGCAGGCUGCAGCCUUCAUCUCCUCAAUCACCAUGGUGUUUCCUUCUGUUGACGCAUAUGUUCUACUUGGCUUCCCGGUAGUGUUCCUGAUCUUCGUUUUCACCGAUUGUUCCGUCUCUACUACCGCUUCAGUAGUACAUUGUUGACCUUCAGCGACCUUGUGAAGUGGUGGUGGCUCCCUUGGUCGCCCUCCUGCAACAACUCGAGUGCUCGACGCGUUCGAGUUGGUGAAUCCGACUCGUGGUUGACCCCUUUUGGUGGGUGCGUGUUCAACAUCCUGUGACAGUUGGAUGCAGUUUCUCUCAUGCGGCAUCUCCGCUGCAGACACUCGAGGCGGGCGCUGUUGUGCUCUGGCUGAAGGUUUCGAAGACUCCGGCAAAGUUGGUAAAGACUGAGAAUGAGGUGAAGGUGCUUCGGUUUGAAGGGGAAGAUCUUGGCUGCGAUGAAGUGAUCCGGUUCCUACAAUUCUACUGACAGCACGGGUAGUUGCGUGUAUUAUUGGCUGGAGUAGUGUAUCUUUGUUGAUCGUUUCGGUCUGCCUCUGAUACCUAGCGGCAUGCGACUGCUUUUGUCGAAGGGCUGAAAUGUCGGAAGCAGACAAUCGUGCGAGAAAGGAAGAAAUAAUUCCACACGUAUUUCACAGGCCCAUUUACGGAUCCUAUGAACUGUGAAGAAAAAGCAUCAGGUUUGGGGCACCACUAAGACAAAGUGAAGUCACGGCUCCGAGGUUGACGCACUAUCUUCACCUUGGCUCCGUUUGGUCCGCGUCAGCCGGUAGUUUGUGCAUGAGGUGUCAACAAUGGCUACUGCCAUCAAGAGACACCGAUAACAGUCCUAAGCACAGCUAUACCAUCAGUAACUCGGCUGCCACAUUAUGUUGCGUGCAACGUAGGCCUCGAUCUGGCCAAAUAUUCAUCGGUCUGUUGCUUCAUCAAGCCGCUCACUGUUGAGGAUUUCCAGUACUCUUACCAGAGGUACGCGUGGUGCGGGGUCGCUGCAGGGACCACGGACGGUUCGGCCGUGGCAGCUGUCGUGAGCUGUCUGUCGACGUAUGGUCUGGACGUUUUUCAGCGCCAUUCUGACUUGUCGGUCCUUGUACAUGUAUGCGAGUAGUUAUCAGAUAACGCGUGUUCUGCUUGAUUUCUGUACACGCCACGGAGGGCUGCUGGCAUAAUCUGGUACACUGGCCACGUUUGCGGCCUAAUAACUCUUCACGGGGACAGGCUAUCCCCGAAAUUGAACCGAAUUUUGGCUGCUCCUCGCCAUUACUGCAGCCGGCGGAAGCAUCAGGAAAAGCUGGAAUACACUUGUGAUUAUCAUUGCUUGGAGGUCGGGUUGCUCUGCGAGAUGAACCUUCGCGAGUCAUACUCUGGUUCCGCGACGCAAAUUGGCCAAGGUUUGCCCGUCUUGGCACUCCUUUCCCAACAAUUGUACCGCUUUCAGAGGCUUCAAAGGAUCCAGUGGAAGUUGGAUCGAAGCAAGAGGUACGAAGGUGGACGGGUAGGUCGAGUCCGACGCUAGGGGACAGUGGCGAGACAGUCUGUUGCUUAAAACGAAGUGCGUGCUGGGGAGGAGCUGAAUUAGCCGUCGCUGAGGCUCCUUUCCUACCUCGGCGUAGCCUCUCUUUCAGAGGCCCAAAUGGUGAUUCAAACAAAAUUGCGGAUCUUAGUACAUCGCCCACUCCGGAGGUUGACGACCGGCUUCUGGAUGCGCUAGUUUUUGUGGCGCUAAGACGGGCUCCUCUUUCUGUGAAGCGCGUGUCACUUUUUCCGCGAGUCCCGAGAACGGCGGCGCGAAUGCCCGCUGCAAUGUCCUCUGUCUUAUCGAAGCUGGAAAGCAAGCUGUGAACGACGCCAAUUUGCUUUCCUGAAUGGGUUGUUGGCUCUAAAUUUCGCACACCAAAGACAGAAGAGGUCGCUUUAUUCCACUUUCCACCUUGUUUCCUGCCCCUCAUUCUUGCCAAAGAACGAGGCGAUUUGUUCACCCUAUUACGCUGUUGUGGCGUGUUAACCUCCCUCUCAGAGCAGCCCACAGCGGACGACAAGCGUCGUUGUUCAGGAGACUCCCGGCGACAAUGAGGUGUGGGGCUCAAAGAAAACUCACCUCCGUCUGAAUCCAUGACUGGAGACUGCAACGGUUUCCGAAGACUCGGCGAUUUUACAAAUAGUGGGCCCGAGUCUGCAGACAAACCAUCCAUCGGGUCGACAUUGUCUAUUUUUACAUGGUGUUCUACUCGGACAGAAUCGGAGUCUCAUGCUGAGCUGCGUUUCGUUUUAGGAAUUAGUCACAUCCAGUCACAAAACGGCACGAUGGCGGUUCCGCGUGGCUCGACACCUCUGGUCCAGCGACCCUUUCCUCACCUCGCAAGUAUUUCCCUAGCAAGUACUUUGCGUCGAACAGAGUAGGGGAGUUUGGAGAUGAUCGUCCGUCAGGAGUUACAGUAAUUCUCAUGGAGCAGCCUUCGUGAUCCCGAGUAACCGAUGACUCCGUGGACGACUCGGCUGAGGAAGCUACCAGACGAAGCCGCAAGUUUUAGAUUGCCAGAUAUAUUGAUGGGAGAUUUGCAGUUAGUGCCAUCGAUGUACGCUACGAGAGAAGCAAAUCUGCUGCGUCCACGCUCGAUGCCGCUGCUCGCCCACCCCAUGUCUGGUCUAUGCUUGCCUGUGUACGUUGGUAUAGCUUGCUGCUCAGAGCUGAUCCACAGGAAAAGUUUCACAGGAUGCACGACCCUGUCAGUUGCACCGCGCAUCAUGUGGUAACGAUUGUUCUUUUUCACAAUCGUUAGCUGAAAGACUCUCGGUUUCAAAGGACGUCCAUCGUGCGUUUUUUCCUUACUGAACGGACUGUCGAGCCACGACGCCUUUAGCAUGCUCCAUCUUUUCUGUGCCUGUUUUCCCCUUUGCCAGCUUCUGUGUACACCUCCUACUUCAGCCAGUGAUGAACCCGCUUCUGGUCUGUAUGCUGCAAGUAGGUCAAAUUGAGGAACGGCCACCGGGCUUCCAGAUCCGGCGGACACACGCCUAGUCGUUACAGGGCUUGUGCAGGCGUCAUCGACGAACGUGAGGCUGGGAGUUAGCAUUUUUGGGGAGGUGCAGGGGACAUCAAAAUACUGAUGACAAAUGCAGAGGGGCCGUAGAGCUGAGUCGGCGAGACACUGGAUCUCUUGAAUUCGUCCAAUAUGUGUUUUUGGGAGCAACUAGCUCGAUCGUAACAGCGUAGGGCGACGGCUGCAGGUUUGCCUGCACUCUCCUUUUAUUGUUGCUUUCGCAUUUCCUAGACAGAUCAUUUUUGUGCUAAUGUUCAGUAAAUAAUCAGCUACUCUUAGGUGCUACGCAGGCCAGACAGGCGUAAUUCGGUUAACACUGAAUCGCUGAUUUUUUCGCAGCUGCUUGGAUCGACAUAUAAUGUGAUGCGUCACAUCCUUUUGCCUUGCCCAACACUGAACUCUUCGAGGACUAAGUUAAAACGACACCGAAAGAGAAAUGAGCCAGGACAUCAAGAAUUCUCUCAGGGACGGACGACUCGGAGAAUUCCUAAAUCGCAGACACUGUGACUGACCACACCUCCCGUCCUCAUGUAGAGCACUGCGUUUCCGAGGCAUGGACAGAAAAGACUCUGCGUGGAGGGCUUUUGCGAAAAGAAAAAUGACUCAUACUAUCCGACUCUCUAUCGUUCGAAAUCAAGCAGUAAAAGAUCAUCUGGACACGGAAAUCCGGUGCCCCAAAUUACUUUGCAAUCCAGUAGGGCAAACUUGCGCUCAAAGCGCGGAGGAUUGCAGUUCUCUCAAAAGCGACUCCAAAGUUUCGUUUCAG
rnacentral:lncRNA from 1 species